GAUGAACGCUGGCGGCGUGCCUAAUACAUGCAAGUCGAGCGAACGGAUGAGAAGCUUGCUUCUCUGAUGUUAGCGGCGGACGGGUGAGUAACACGUGGAUAACCUACCUAUAAGACUGGGAUAACUUCGGGAAACCGGAGCUAAUACCGGAUAAUAUUUUGAACCGCAUGGUUCAAAAGUGAAAGACGGUCUUGCUGUCACUUAUAGAUGGAUCCGCGCUGCAUUAGCUAGUUGGUAAGGUAACGGCUUACCAAGGCAACGAUGCAUAGCCGACCUGAGAGGGUGAUCGGCCACACUGGAACUGAGACACGGUCCAGACUCCUACGGGAGGCAGCAGUAGGGAAUCUUCCGCAAUGGGCGAAAGCCUGACGGAGCAACACCGCGUGAGUGAUGAAGGUCUUCGGAUCGUAAAACUCUGUUAUUAGGGAAGAACAUAUGUGUAAGUAACUGUGCACAUCUUGACGGUACCUAAUCAGAAAGCCACGGCUAACUACGUG
rnacentral:rRNA from 1 species